UUGGGGGUUGAUUGACCUUAAAUUACCCUAAGUGUGUUAGAUGACCUAGGUAUAAAAUCAGAAGUUGCCUGAUUCUUCUCUUUACGGUGCCUUCCGAAAAUGUCACACUUCUUCUCCCUCUCCACCUCGUGAUCUCCGACCGAUCUUCCCGCUGGGCUCUGAGAUCCGGCCAGGCGCCACUUCACGUAGGCGAUUCUCCGAGGACGACGCGAUCAGACGUAGAAUCCAUCUCACCCGCGGCAUCGUUUCUAGAAGCAGCACGAAGAGGGGAAGAGCAAGGGAAAGACAAGUACACUCCUCUAUGACAAUGUGGGAUCGGUGAGUGAGAGGGACACCUCCUAGGAUAUGAUGGAGACAAUGCAGACGGGAUAGACGAGGAGGCGGGAUAGACACAUGACACACUGUCUGGGUGUCUUUAGGAGUGCUAUAAAGGCUUUUGUUUCUUUUGAGUCUUUUCUUUAAUUGUAUGGAAAAAUAUCUUGGUGCUUCCCUAUCUUUGUGAUGAACUCCUUGGAUUGUGAUGCUACGUGUACAUUGAGUAUGGCAGUUCAUUCGAUAAGGUUCCUAGCAUAGUUCAUUAAUGACAAUGUUUUAGAGGGUUUGUCCUUUGAUUGAACAUUGGUAUACAAUUGAUUGGUAAAUGUUGCA